UGGGGAAUCUUGCGCAAUGGACGAAAGUCUGACGCAGCGACGCCGCGUGGGUGACGAAGGCCUUCGGGUUGUAAAGCCCUGUGGGGAGAGACGAACUGGCCGAUGGCUAACAUCCAUGGGUCUUGACGGUAUCUCCUUAGCAAGCAUCGGCUAACUCUGUGCCAGCAGCCGCGGUAAGACAGAGGAUGCAAACGUUGCUCGGAAUUACUGGGCGUAAAGCGCGCGCAGGCGGUCUCGUAAGUCGGGUGUGAAAGCCCCGGGCUCAACCCGGGAAGUGCACUCGAUACUGCGAGACUGGAGUACUGGAGAGGAGAGCGGAAUUCUCGGUGUAGAGGUGAAAUUCGUAGAUAUCGGGAGGAACACCAGUGGCGAAGGCGGCUCUCUGGACAGAUACUGACGC
rnacentral:rRNA from 1 species